GACGAACGCUGGCGGCGUGCUUAACACAUGCAAGUCGAACGGAAAGGCCCUUCGGGGUACUCGAGUGGCGAACGGGUGAGUAACACGUGGGUGAUCUGCCCUGCACUUUGGGAUAAGCCUGGGAAACUGGGUCUAAUACCGAAUAGGACCACGCGCUUCAUGGUGUGUGGUGGAAAGCUUUUGCGGUGUGGGAUGGGCCCGCGGCCUAUCAGCUUGUUGGUGGGGUAAUGGCCUACCAAGGCGACGACGGGUAGCCGGCCUGAGAGGGUGACCGGCCACACUGGGACUGAGAUACGGCCCAGACUCCUACGGGAGGCAGCAGUGGGGAAUAUUGCACAAUGGGCGCAAGCCUGAUGCAGCGACGCCGCGUGAGGGAUGACGGCCUUCGGGUUGGAAACCUCUUUCAAUAGGGACGAAGCGCAAGUGACGGUACCUAUAGAAGAAGCACCGGCCAACUACGU
rnacentral:rRNA from 1 species